AUACGUAGGGGGCGAGCGUUGUCCGGAAUUACUGGGCGUAAAGGGUGCGCAGGCGGCCGAUUAAGUCAGAUGUGAAAUACCAGGGCUCAACCCUGGGGGUGCAUUUGAAACUGGUUGGCUUGAGUGCAGGAGAGGAAAGCAGAAUUCCUAGUGUAGCGGUGAAAUGCGUAGAGAUUAGGAGGAACACCAGUGGCGAAGGCGGCUUUCUGGACUGUAACUGACGCUGAGGCACGAAAGCGUGGGGAGCAAACAGGAUUAGAUACCCUGGUAGUCCACGCCGUAAACGAUGGAUACUAGGUGUAGGGGGUUUGAUACCCUCUGUGCCGGAGUUAACGCAAUAAGUAUCCCGCCUGGGGAGUACGGCCGCAAGGUUGAA
rnacentral:rRNA from 1 species